CCCCUCUCAGGGUCGCAUCUGGAGAGUUUCCAGUACUCUACCAGUCAUGACUAUGGGAGGGAGAUUCAAGCAGAAGCAUCUUCUUUCAAUUCCUAGCUUGGGCAAUGGCUAGCAAGUGGAAGGCAAUCUGCUACAAGU